UUGGAGCUGGAGAUCCUGGAAUCCAGGAGC
rnacentral:piRNA from 2 species